rnacentral:rRNA from 1 species
GAGGCAGCAGUAGGGAAUCUUCGGCAAUGGACGAAAGUCUGACCGAGCAACGCCGCGUGAGUGAAGAAGGUUUUCGGAUCGUAAAACUCUGUUGUUAGAGAAGAACAAGGACGUUAGUAACUGAACGUCCCCUGACGGUAUCUAACCAGAAAGCCACGGCUAACUACGUGCCAGCAGCCGCGGUAAUACGUAGGUGGCAAGCGUUGUCCGGAUUUAUUGGGCGUAAAGCGAGCGCAGGCGGUUUCUUAAGUCUGAUGUGAAAGCCCCCGGCUCAACCGGGGAGGGUCAUUGGAAACUGGGAGACUUGAGUGCAGAAGAGGAGAGUGGAAUUCCAUGUGUAGCGGUGAAAUGCGUAGAUAUAUGGAGGAACACCAGUGGCGAAGGCGGCUCUCUGGUCUGUAACUGACGCUGAGGCUCGAAAGCGUGGGGAGCAAACAGGAUUAGAUACCCUGGUAGUCCACGCCGUAAACGAUGAGUGCUAAGUGUUGGAGGGUUUCCGCCCUUCAGUGCUGCAGCAAACGCAUUAAGCACUCCGCCUGGGGA